rnacentral:ribozyme from 13 species
UGCUUCUUUUUCUUUCUCUUUUUCUUUUUCUUUUUCUCCUCUCUUUCUCUUUCUUGGCUACUCCCAAAAAGGAGGAAAGGUGGUUCAAGA